CUCAAUGACAAUGGGACAUUCGUCUUGCUCUUCUCUGAAGAGGCGCACCUGUUUCCCACUGCACUCCGUCUCCCACGGCCUCCGCCUCCUGGCUUUUGUUCUCCAGGACGUAGACGUGAUCGUGAAGACGUAGCCUAUCUAUCAUCCUUUCUCCCUGAAAGGCACCUUGGCUGCAGUUAAUGACUGUAAUAAGAUCAAGCCACAGAAACCAUACCCCAAUCUCUUAUAUUCAGCUUUUUAAAAAUGGCUCCAUUGAGACAAAAAAAAUCAAAGGAUUCCACCAGAAAGAACAUGGAUGUGGUGUCCAGAAUAGGCCUCUCACACCAGGAGAAAGCAGGCGACGCAAUCAGAGUUGCUAA
rnacentral:lncRNA from 1 species